rnacentral:rRNA from 1 species
GAGUUUGAUCGUGGCUCAGGAUGAACGCUGGCGGCGUGCUUAACACAUGCAAGUCGAACGAGGAAUUUUAAAUGAGACUUCGGUGGAUUUUAAAAUUCUUAGUGGCGGACGGGUGAGUAACGCGUGGGCAACCUGCCCUGUACAGGGGGGACAACAGCUGGAAACGGCUGCUAAUACCGCAUAAGACCACGGAGCCGCAUGGCUCAGUGGGAAAAACUCCGGUGGUACAGGAUGGGCCCGCGUUGGAUUAGGUAGUUGGUGAGGUAACGGCCCACCAAGCCGACGAUCCAUAGCCGACCUGAGAGGGUGACCGGCCACGUUGGGACUGAGACACGGCCCAAACUCCUACGGGAGGCAGCAGUGGGGAAUCUUCCGCAAUGGGCGAAAGCCUGACGGAGCAACGCCGCGUGAGUGAAGAAUUAUUUCGGUAUGUAAAGCUCUAUCAGCAGGGAAGAAAAUGACGGUACCUGACUAAGAAGCCCGGCUAACUACGUGCCGGCCGCCGCAGUAAG